AUUUUUGGAUGUGAUUUCUAACUUUUUUUUUUUUUUCAAUUGAGUGAUCAAUGUGGUCAUGAAUUUUUUUUUAGUUCAUUUGGUUUAACCCCUUAAGGACCAAACUUCUGGAAUAAAAGGGAAUCAUGACAUGUCAUGUGUCCUUAAGGGGUUAAUUUGGAGACACAAUUUUUCAGGCUGCUUUGUAGCAUUGAUCUGUUUUAUUUUGCUUUUAAUACUUUUGGUCCCUGAGGAAGUUCUUGUAUAUAGAACGGAAUGCGUAUGGCCUUGGAACUUUUUAAACAUAGAUAUUCCUUUUUAUUUAUGCUUGUUAUAUGGUUCUACAAUAAUGGUAAUUUUCACUUUAGCAUAUCUGGAUUCCUGAGUCCCUUCCUGUACUGGAUGAUUUCAAACAUAACAAUGUUAGCUGUUAUGUGGAAGUUUGCCACUGUGUCAACUAUUAGGUUUGGUAUUCAGCCAUCAAGUUGGUCAUCUCUUAUUCUGAAAACAUGUAAGUGUCUGUUAUUAUCAUUAAGUGCUUCUUGCCUAACACAGCUUCUUUUCUUGCUCAUAUGAUCUUCACCUCUGUGUUGUGCAGUUGCAGUAGUUAUAAUACAAUGACUGAUUUGCCGCCAUUUUGGUUACUGGAUCACAUUCUGGUCAUGUAACUACUAAUGUAAGAAUCCUCUUUCAUUCUGGAUCUAGGAGUCACAUUGCUCUCUUUCAACACUCAAUUAUCGUUUGAACCAGCACAGUAUAUUUCGGUAUCUUAAAAUUAUAAUAAUUGCAUCAUAAACUCUAUAUAAG